CAUCUCAUUCUUGCAAGAUACGUCUUUUAUAUAUAUGUACCUAUAUACAAAUCUUUUUGUCUCACCCACCUCACAAUCAAACUUUCCAAAAAGAAUUCCACAUAGAACAGAGGAGGGAGAGUUGCAGAUAAUGGUAGAGUCAAGCACUACAAUCCAACAAAACUUUAUUCCACAUCAAAAGGCUAUCUCCUCGAGUAAGGUCGGAGUAAGAAAUUCAAGUUAAAGGAACGAAACGAACAAGGUUGAGCAGCGAAGUGGUGGAGGAAGUGCUAUU